CCUACGGGUGGCUGCAGUGGGGAAUAUUGCACAAUGGGCGCAAGCCUGAUGCAGCCAUGCCGCGUGUGUGAAGAAGGCCUUCGGGUUGUAAAGCACUUUCAGCGGGGAGGAAGGCGUUAAGGUUAAUAACCUUGGCGAUUGACGUUACCCGCAGAAGAAGCACCGGCUAACUCCGUGCCAGCAGCCGCGGUAAUACGGAGGGUGCAAGCGUUAAUCGGAAUUACUGGGCGUAAAGCGCACGCAGGCGGUCUGUCAAGUCGGAUGUGAAAUCCCCGGGCUCAACCUGGGAACUGCAUUCGAAACUGGCAGGCUAGAGUCUUGUAGAGGGGGGUAGAAUUCCAGGUGUAGCGGUGAAAUGCGUAGAGAUCUGGAGGAAUACCGGUGGCGAAGGCGGCCCCCUGGACAAAGACUGGCGCUCAGGUGCGAAAGCGUGGGGAGCAAACAGGAUUAGAUACCCGAGUAGAC
rnacentral:rRNA from 1 species